rnacentral:rRNA from 1 species
UACGUAGGGUGCAAGCGUUAUCCGGAAUUAUUGGGCGUAAAGAGCUCGUAGGCGGUUUGUCACGUCUGCUGUGAAAACUGGAGGCUCAACCUCCAGCCUGCAGUGGGUACGGGCAGACUAGAGUGCGGUAGGGGAGACUGGAAUUCCUGGUGUAGCGGUGGAAUGCGCAGAUAUCAGGAGGAACACCGGUGGCGAAGGCGGGUCUCUGGGCAGUAACUGACGCUGAGGAGCGAAAGCGUGGGGAGCGAACAGG